CAGCGCCUUCUCCAGGGUUUAGAGCGGAGGUGAAGGGGCCUCGUCCUGCACCGCCACUGGGCGCCUGGGCUGUUCAUCAUCGGUUACCGCCGAUUCAUAGGAACUCCUCAACACAUUGGCUCGGAAAUGUACAGUCAUAGGCAAUUUAUAAAACUGACAAAAAUUAUUCCGCUAAUGCCAGGAAUAACGGAGGAUAUUCAGAAAGAAAAACAGGAAUAUUUUCUUGUGUAAAUAAUAGAUAAAGAAUAAAAAAGUAAAUGAGCGUAAUCCAGCAGCAAUCCCCUUAGGGAGUAAUAAAACCCGAAAAGUCCAAUUUGCGCAGCAAGAUCCAUUAGGCAGGAAGUGAGGAAGCCAGACGCUGUCCUGCGGCCCUGAAGCGGGGAACUCACUGUGGGAGUUUGAUGCCUCAAAUCAGGAGCUGCGGAAGGAAGAAAUUUCAACGUUUCGUUAUUAUGCUUCAGUUCAGUGUGAGCAGGCUUUGUAUCCCAGUCUCUGAUCCCAAACAGAUAUCAGGAAAGGAUCAAAGCUAAAAAUAAAUGAAUGCCUGGGAAGUGCCAGAAGCAGGCAAUGCCACAUCUUUCUCAAGCUCCACAAUCACAAAGACAAGCCCUUGCAUUCUGACUGCCUAUCUGCAAGAGGACAAUGGAAAAUUAUAAAUAUAAAGUUACAUUUAAAACUAUCAGCACUGAAGAAAGGCGCACCAGGAUGUCCACUUCUCUGAGAUGGAGCUGCCGCAUUCCUCGCCGGGGUGC
rnacentral:lncRNA from 1 species